rnacentral:rRNA from 1 species
CCUACGGGUGGCAGCAGUGGGGAAUAUUGCACAAUGGGGGAAACCCUGAUGCAGCAACGCCGCGUGAGUGAAGAAGUAUUUCGGUAUGUAAAGCUCUAUCAGCAGGGGAGUAGAAAGACGGUACCUGACUUAGAAGCACCGGCUAACUACGUGCCAGCAGCCGCGGUAAUACGUAGGGGGCAAGCUUUAUCCGGGUUUACUGGGUGUAAAGGGAGCGUAGACGGCAGCAUAAGUCUGGUGUGAAAUCCCGGGGCUUAACCCCGGAACUGCUUUGGAAACUGUGCGGCUGGAGUGCAGGAGGGGUAAGCGGAAUUCCUAGUGUAGCGGUGAAAUGCGUAGAUAUUAGGAGGAACACCGGUGGCGAAGGCGGCUUACUAGACUGUAACUGACGUUGAGGCUCGAAAGCGUGGGGAGCAAACAGGAUUAGAUACCCUUGUAGUC